CCGAGAAUCUUCGGCAAUGGGGGAAACCCUGACCGAGCGACGCCGCGUGCGAGAUGAAGGCCUUCGGGUUGCAAAUCGCUGUCAGAGGGGAGGAAAUUCCAAGGGGUUCUCUCCUUGGUUUGACCUAUCCUCAGAGGAAGGACGGGCUAAGUUCGUGCCAGCAGCCGCGGUAAGACGAACUGUCCAAACGUUAUUCGGAAUCACUGGGCUUAAAGGGUGCGUAGGCGGCUCUGCAAGUUGGGUGUGAAAGCCCUCGGCUCAACCGAGGAACUGCGCCCAAAACUGUGGGGCUUGAGGGAGACAGAGGUGAGCGGAACUUAGGGUGGAGCGGUGAAAUGCGUUGAGAUCCUAAGGAACACCAGUAGCGAAAGCGGCUCACUGGGUCUCUUCUGACGCUGAGGCACGAAAGCUAGGGGAGCGAAGAG
rnacentral:rRNA from 1 species